AGCUGUGGCGGCGGCCAAUUACGUGGCGGACCUGCGGGGCUAAGCUGGCACGUCACUUCCGACUAGUGGAGUUUUUAGCCUUUUAACAUUCAAGGAUUAGAGCUCCCUCUUUGCCCACUAGCAGGGCAUUAGCUGGUGCUGAAGACAGUGGCUGCUUGGCGAGCCUGGAUCUCCAAGUGACCCCCUCAGCAACUCCUGAUGAACAGGUACUGUGUGCAGAAAUGUGAUUGAGAUUCAAGUCAGGGCCUCUCUGCCCUUUUCCCUCCAGAAACAAAACCAAGAUAAUUUAUCCUGAACACGGUGAAAAAAGGAAGGGAGGGAGGAGAAAAAGUCCGGGUCUCACCUGGGAUUCUCUGUCUCCUGCAACAUGAAGGAUUUAGCCUGGGAGGAGGUGGUGAGAACUCUGGGAGAGAAAAAAGAAGGAAAGAAUAGUUUUACCCAUGCUGAAGUUAAUUUAAACCUUCACCUAGAGAAGCAAAAAAAAAAAACCCACACUUUCCCAUUUUGUGCCUCCCUUCCUAGAGUUUUAGCCAAAGGUUUAGCUAAGUAAUUGGUUUUACCAGCGCACUCACUCCUCCUAUCCCAAGUCUGUUUGACUCCCUCCCCAUCAUCCUCCUCACCUCUUUUCAGGCAGGGUGGGGAUAGCAGCAGGAGGAGAUUUUGGGAGCCUGGCAACUCCUGCAAGGACCGCAGGACAGCCCCUCUGUGGGGAUGCGUGGUGCCCCAUCUGCCGCCCUUCUGAAGAAUGCACUGCCUUCACUUUUUACUGUGUUAGAGUCCAUCCAGACUGUUCUAUCCAAAAAAGUUUCUUUUUCCCCCACAGGCAAUCAGGAAAUGAUUCCUUUCCCGACUGCUUCUGUCUAGUGCCUGGGAAUCUUGAGUCAAUCCCUCAGUAAGUCAGUGACUAGGGAAAUCCCUCUCUGAGCCUCCCAGUUCAUGUUGCUUAGGGAACCUGAUAUUUUCGUGAAACCUGCCUACACAUGGGCAGCCCAACAGCAGAACAAAUGGUGGUGACCAAAGUGAACAAAGAAGUAUAGUUGUGCCAGCUUCGUAGUUGCCCAUGUGGACAAGUCAGCAGGAUCAGGACACGAGGAAGAGUAAAUGUGAGACAGUCAAUGUGACUUCUGCGAUAAACAGAUUUUUAAACCCCGAAAUUUUGCAAAAUUUUGGUGAAACCUGAACUUUCUUCGUUGCAUAUACUGGCACUAUCUGUACCAUCAUACAACUGUCUCACAUUAAAGCUAUUUUUCUUGGGCACUGAUGAGUAAGGGACUUGCACUUAGGAAUCUGUUACAGUGAGCACAGAAGCAGACCUGUGGGCUCAUAGUCUUCACCCCCCACCCAUAUAUACAAGAUGAACAGAGUGGAGGUUAAACAACUUGACUAAACAACACAGUUCAUGGUAAAGCCCAAGACUGUACCUGCCCAUCCACUGCCUUUUCCAUGUAUCCUGGAACUGAGCAUAGACCUCUUCCCAGGCAGAGCUGACAGCAAGUAAAGGAGAUCAUAAUCAGGGGACCAAACAACUUUGUCUAAAGUGUGAAUGUCACCUAAGGAGAAGCUGUGAGAUCAGAAGGGUGGGGCAGAGGAGCAGACACCAUGAGGGAGAGUCCUUGGGGGUACAUCUGCCAGACUGACACUGUCUGGCCUGGGCAGUGGAGGGGCUAGCAGGAACCACAGGUACUGGUGGUGUGGCUACUACCGUUACAACUGCCUGUGCUUGGACAUGGACCCUCUGCAAUAUGCGGCAGUUUCAUUCAUUGCCCCCUACAUUCUACACCAAGUAGAAAUGGAAGGCAAUUGGAUACUUCACAGACAAGAUCUAAGUGGAGAAGGAAUGCGUCCUGUGGCUGCAGAGAUCCUUGGAGCUUGGAGGGGAGAGCUUGAGCCCCACUGAUGAUGACCUCCCACAGCUCGCCAACUCAGCCCUCCCUAAGUCCCCAUCGGGGGCCAAUUCUCACUCUGGGGUUGGGGGGACUCCACCAUAGCUCAUCCAUCAUAGGGAUGUUGGUAUCUACUGUGGGUUGGGUAGGGCCGAUGUGCUGAGGAUGGCUCCCCCACAAGCAAGAGAUGUGGAUUUGGGGAGCUUCCCAUCUUGUGUUGAAGGAACAUAACUCAGAAUAAUAAGAGCCAACUAUAACAAACCCACAGCCAACAUCAUACUGAAUGGGCAAAAGCUGCAGGCAUUCCCCUUGAAAAGUGGCACAGGAUAAGGAAGCCCUUUCUCACCACUCCUAUUCAAUAUAGUGUUGAAAGUCCUGAUCACAGCAGUCAGGCAACAGAAAUAAUAAAGGGCAUCCAAAUAGGAAGAGAGGAAGUCAAACUAUCCUUGUUUGCAGACAGUAUGAUUCUAUAUCUAGAAAACCCCAUAGCCUCAGCCCAAAAGGUCCUUCAUCUGAUAAUUUCAGCAAAGUUUCAGGAGACAAAAUCAGUGUACAAAAAUCACUAACAUUCCUAUACACAGUCGCCAAGCCAAGAGCCAAAUCAGGAGCACAAUCCCAUUCAUAAUUGCCACAAAAAAGAAUAAAAUACCCAGGAAUGCAGCUAACCAAGGAAGUAAAGGAUCUCUACAAUGAGAAUCACAAACGCUGCUCAAAGAAAUCAGAGAUGACACAAACAAAUGGAAAAACUUUCCAUGCUCAUGGCUAGGAAGAAUCAAUAUCAUUAAAGUGGCCAUACUACCCAAAGCAAUUUAUAGAUUCAAUGCUAUUCCUAUCAAACUAUCAAUUACAUUUUUCACAGAACUAGAAAAAACUUAAAAUUCAUAUGGAACCAAAAAGCCUGAGUAGUCAAGGCAAUCCUAAACAAAAAGAACAAAGGUGGAGGCAUCACAUUACCUAACUUCAAACUACAGGGCUACCAUGACCAAAACAGCAUGGUACUGGUACAAAAGCAGACACACAGACCAGUGGGACAGAAUAGAGAGCCCAAAAAUAAGGCCACAAACCUACAGCCAUCUGAUCUUCAACAAAGUUGACAAAAACAAGCAAUGGGGAAAGGUCUCCCUAUUCAAUAAAUGGUGCUGGGAUAACUGGCUGGCCAUAUGCAGAAGAUCGUAACUGGACCCCUUUUACUAUGUACAAAAAUUAAGAUGGUUUAAAGAGUUAAAACCCAAAAUUAUAAAAAUCCUGAAGAUAACUUAGGCAAUACCAUUCUGGACAUAGGAACUGGCAAAUAUUUCAUGAUGAAGACACCAAAAGCAAUUGUAACAAAAGCAAAAAUGGACAAAUUGGAUUUAAGAGCUUUUUCAUAGCAAAAUAAACAACAGGGCAGACAAUCUACCAAAUGACAGAAAAUUUUUGCAAACUAUGCAUCUGACAAGGGGCUAAUAUCUAGCAUCUAUAAGGAAUUUAAACACAGUUACAGGAAAAAAAAAACCCACUCCAUUAAAAAAUGGGCAAAGGACAUGAACAGACACUUUUCAAAAAAGACAUACAUACAGCCAACUAGCGUGUUAAAGAAAACCUCAAUUAUCACUGAUCAUUAGAGAAAUGCAAAAUCAAAACCAUGAUGAGAUAUCAUCUGCCAGUCAGGAUGGCUACAAAAAAGUAAAAAAAUAAUAGAUGUUGGUGAGGUUAUGGAGAAAAGGAACUUAUACACUUGUUAGGAGUGUAAAUUAGUUCAAUCACUGUGGACAGCAGUGUGGUGAUUCCUCAGAGAGCUAAAAACAACUACCAUUUGACUCACCAAUCCCAUUACUGGAUAUUUACCUAAAGGAAUAUAAAUCAUUCCACCAUAAAGACACAUGCAAGUGUAUGUUCAUUGCAGCACUAUUAACAGUAACAAAGCUGGGCACAGUGGCUCACCUCACGACUGUAAUCCCAGCACUUUGGGAGGCUGAGGUAGGCGGAUCACCUGAGGUCGGCAGUUUGAGACCAGCCUGACCAACAUGGAGAGACCCCAUCUCUACUAAAAAUACAAAAUUAGCCAGGUGUGGUGGCUCAUGCCUGUAAUCCCAGCUACUUGGGAGGCCAAGGCAGGAGAAUUGCUUGAACCCAGGAGGCAGAGGUUGCAGUG
rnacentral:lncRNA from 1 species